AGUGAACGCUGGCGGUAGGCCUAACACAUGCAAGUCGAACGGCAGCUCAGUAAGAGCUUGCUCUUACGGGUGGCGAGUGGCGGACGGGUGAGGAAUACAUCGGAAUCUACUUUUUCGUGGGGGAUAACGUAGGGAAACUUACGCUAAUACCGCAUACGACCUACGGGUGAAAGCAGGGGAUCUUCGGACCUUGCGCGAUUGAAUGAGCCGAUGUCGGAUUAGCUAGUUGGCGGGGUAAAGGCCCACCAAGGCGACGAUCCGUAGCUGGUCUGAGAGGAUGAUCAGCCACACUGGAACUGAGACACGGUCCAGACUCCUACGGGAGGCAGCAGUGGGGAAUAUUGGACAAUGGGCGCAAGCCUGAUCCAGCCAUACCGCGUGGGUGAAGAAGGCCUUCGGGUUGUAAAGCCCUUUUGUUGGGAAAGAAAAGCAGCAGGUUAAUACCCCGCUGUUCUGACGGUACCCAAAGAAUAAGCACCGGCUAACUUCGUA
rnacentral:rRNA from 1 species